rnacentral:misc_RNA from 1 species
GAUGAAGAACGUAGCGAAAUGCGAUAAGUAAUGUGAAUUGCAGAAUUCAGUGAAUCAUCGAAUCUUUGAACGCACAUUGCGCCCAUUAGUAUUCUAGUGGGCAUGCCUGUUCGAGCGUCAUUUCAUCCCUUAAGCCUAGCUUAGUAUUGGGAAUCGACUUUACUGUCGUUCCUCAAAUUCAACGGCGGAUUUAUAGCAAUCUCUGAACGUAGUAAUUUUUUUCCUCGUUUUUGAAAUACUAUAAACCUCAGCCGCUAAACCCCCAAUUUUUUUAUGGUUGACCUCGGAUCAGGUAGGAAUACCCGCUGAACUUAAGCAUAUCAAUAAGCGGAGGA